GCUUAUAGUAUAUAGUCUUUGAAUGUGUAUCAACUGUGGGGUCAUCCCAUGCUGUUACGAACAUAAUGAGAAUGGACCAAAACACCACUGUUCCAUCUUCAGCUCAGAAUUACUGCACUGUAAGACAGUGAGGAGCCAAAAAAAAUAUUUUUGUGUAGAGUCAAACCCAGAAGGGAAGCAGAAGUAACCUUCACCUGCAACUCUAUCUGGAAAAACAUGACAAAAUGGUUGCACUAUCAACCCAAAAACGACAAUUUCCCACUGUGAAAACCAUUACUUGCCCUAUUAGGGGUGUCACCCAGUUCACCCAGCUGCGAUGCCUUUUAAAUGGGACUGACUGCCACAACACGUCUGACUGUCAUCAGCCAACCCAAACAAAACUUUGUUUAAACGCAGCAGAUAAGGAAUGGCUGGGUUCACUGAUAACACUGCAGUAUUCUUCUAUGGUUGAGUUCUUACUGGCUGUGAUGACAACAUGGUGAGAGAAUGGGCCACUUUCCUAAUGGUGAAGCCAACAUGGUGAUGGAGACUAACUCUCUCAGUGAUGGACGCCAUAAUGGAAAAUAAAAACUCUCUUAUGUUAUGGGUCAUGGAGGACAUACUUCACCUUAGGAUUUCUUUCAUGGAUGUAAUGAGCUUCAGAUGUGUUCGCUGUGCGGCCGCCGGCCUUGGCUCACAGGAUCGUCACGGAAACUGUUUAACUGGAUUAGAAGACCUGGAUCAGGGGCAAGUGAUGGUGGAGCAUCAAGCUUGUAAUAACAUUGUAAUAAUAUGGUCAAUUAGCAGACUUUUUCCCAAAGCUGUCAACACAUAGGCCUACAGCAUAUUCAGUGUACAUGGCUAUGGUGUUGCAAGCAUCAUGCACCAACCAAACAAUUGGAAGCAAUUCAUUUCCAAUUGGUGGUACUGUCUAACUAGUAGCCCUGCUUCCAAGGCAUUCCAAUGACCCAGACACAUUCCAAACUGAGGUCCUCAUAGUGAACAAUACUAGCUAACACUGCUGUUACUGGGACCUGUUGGUUAGUGUACUGUCCAAUCAUGCCACAUCUACACAGUCACAUGGGAGCCAGAGGAGUGGAUGGAGGAGGGGAGAUCAAAAACCUGAGCCCUAGGACCAUACGUCAGGACUACCGGGCAUGACGACUCCCUGCUGUCCCCAGUCCACCUGGCCUUGCUGCUAUUCCAGUUUCAACUGUUCUGCCUGCGGUUACGGAACCCCUACCUGUCCCAGACCUGCUGUUUUCAACUCUUAAUGAUCGGCUAUGAAAAGCCAACAGAUUUAUUCCUGAUUAUUAUUUGACCAUGCUUGUCAUUUAUGAACAUUUUGAAAAUCUUGGCUCUCUCUAAUUUUCUCCUUCUCUCUUUCUUUCUCUCGGAGGACCUGAGCCCUGGGACCAUACGUCGGGACUGCCGGGCGUGGUGGCUCCUUGCUGUCCCCAGUCCGCCUGGCCUUGCUGCUGUUCCGGUUUCAGCUGUUCUGCCUGCGAUUAUGGAACCGCCACCUGUCCCAGACCUGUUGUUUUUCAACUCUUAAUGAUCGGCUAUGAAAAGCCAACUGAAAAUUAUCCAUGAUUAUUAUUUGACCAUGCUUGUCACUUAUGAACAUUUUUGAACAUCUUGGCAUAGUUCUGUUAUAAUCUCCACCCGGCACAGCCAGAAGAGGACUGGCCACCCCUCAUAGCCUGGUUCCUCUCUAGGUUUCUUCCUAGGUUUUUGCCUUUCUAGGGAGUUUUUCCUAGCCACCGUGCUUCUUCACCUGCAUUCUAGCUGUUUGGGGUUUUAGGCUGGGUCUCUGUACAGCACUUCGAGAUAUUAGCUGAUGUACGAAGGGCUAUAUAAAAUAAACUUGAUUGAUUGACUAUAA